rnacentral:rRNA from 1 species
AAUGAACGCAGGCGGCAGGCCUAACACAUGCAAGUCGAACGAGGCAGCAAUGCCUAGUGGCGGACGGGUGAGUAACGCGUGGGAACGUGCCCCUUGGUACGGAAUAGCCCCGGGAAACUGGGAGUAAUACCGUAUGUGGUCGAGAGACGAAAGAUUUAUCGCCAAGGGAUCGGCCCGCGUUGGAUUAGGUAGUUGGUGGGGUAAUGGCCUACCAAGCCGACGAUCCAUAGCUGGUUUGAGAGGAUGAUCAGCCACACUGGGACUGAGACACGGCCCAGACUCCUACGGGAGGCAGCAGUGGGGAAUCUUAGACAAUGGGGGAAACCCUGAUCUAGCCAUGCCGCGUGAUCGAUGAAGGCCUUGGGGUUGUAAAGAUCUUUCAGUGGGGAAGAUAAUGACGGUACCCACAGAAGAAGCCCCGGCUAACUCCGUGCCAGCCGCCGCAGUAA